AUGCCGUGCCACAACCAGCAGAUGAACAGUGUCAACAGUGGCCCGGACCACCCAGUGAAGCAGGUCCGGUUCGCUAACAGCGGCGGUGUCCCCCCGGUGCUGAGCACCCCUGAGCCCAGCGAUGCCGCCACACUACCCAGUCAGGAAAACCUGGGACCGCAGCUCAAGCUGCUCCCUCUCAACGACCAGAUCCGAGAACUACAGACCAUCAUCAGAGACAAGACAACCAGCAGAGGAGAUUUCGUUUUUUGUGCCGACCGUCUGAUAAGACUAGUAGUUGAAGAGGGCUUGAAUCAGCUCCCUUACUCAGAGUGCACUGUGACUACACCAACAGGGUACAAGUAUGAAGGUGUCAAGUUUGAAAGAGGCAAUUGUGGAGUCAGCAUAAUGAGGAGUGGCGAGGCCAUGGAACAGGGUCUCCGGGACUGCUGCCGCUCCAUCCGCAUUGGCAAGAUCCUCAUCCAGAGCGAUGAAGAGACACAGAAAGCCAAGGUCUACUAUGCCAAGUUCCCCCCAGAUGUGUACAGAAGAAAGGUGCUGCUCAUGUAUCCCAUCCUCAGUACUGGGAAUACAGUGAUCGAAGCAGUGAAGGUGUUGAUAGAGCACGGAGUUCAACCCAGACACAUUAUCCUCCUCAGCCUCUUCUCCACACCUCAUGUCAGCAGGAUUACAGAAACACUUCUGCACAGUUUUUUAUGAAGUUUAGUGGAGUGAUUGGACAUUACCUGAGGAGGAGCACAUUAUUCUUUUUAGCGGAGCCAGAGAAAAACAGCAGGCAGGAUUUGUUUUUCACGUUAUUUAACAUGGAGCCAAAUCUAUAAUCCAGGAGUUCCCAGACAUCACCAUUCUGACCACAGAGGUUCAUCCAGUGGCUCCAACACAUUUUGGACAGAGGUACUUUGGCACAGACUAAACUGAGGAAGACCAGAGGAACAUGAUCUGCGACCUGUUGUGACAUUUAUUUAAAUAUUCCCUGUGUUCUCCUUGUUGUGCCAAAUACUGCAACGUGAUCUUACAAUUUCCCAGAUUCAUACAAAAUUAAUAGUGAUUGUAUUUAUUAUGUUUUUUUUUUUUGUUGUGGUGUAUACUCAUGCUAUAAAAAGAAGAAUACUCUGAAUCAUGAGGAGAGUUCAACUUGGAGCCUUUUAUUUUGCAUGUUACAACAAGUGAUGGAUCAAUAAAGAAUUUAUAUUUGUUAA